rnacentral:rRNA from 1 species
CCGCGUGGGUGAUGAAGGCCUUCGGGUUGUAAAGCCCUGUCGGUUGGGAAAAAGGUAGUCGUGUUAAUACCACGAUUGCUUGAUGGUACCAGCAAAGGAAGUAGCGGCUAACUCUGUGCCAGCAGCCGCGGUAAUACAGAGGCUACAAGCGUUGUUCGGAAUUACUGGGCGUAAAGGGCGCGUAGGCGGUCUUCUAAGUCAGAUGUGAAAGCCUGGGGCUUAACCCCAGAAGUGCAUUUGAAACUGGAAGGCUAGAGUGCAGUAGAGAAUGGCGGAAUUCCCAGUGGAGAGGUGAAAUUCGUAGAUAUUGGGAGGAACACCGGUGGCGAAGGCGGCCAUUUGGGCUGUAACUGACGCUGAGGCGCGAAAGCGUGGGUAGCAAACAGGAUUAGAUACCCUGGUAGUCCACGCUGUAAACUAUGGAUACUCGCUGUGGCUGGUAUUGACCCCGGCCGUAGCCAAGUUAACACGUUAAGUAUCCCGCCUGGGGAGUACGGUCGCAAGAUUAAAACUCAAAGGAAUUGACGGGGGCCCGCACAAGCGGUGGAUUAUGUGGUUUAAUUCGAAGCAACGCGCAAAACCUUACCCAGCCUUGACUUGCUCUGGAUCGGUCCUGGAAACAGGCCUUUGUAGCAAUACACCGGAGACACAGGUGCUGCAUGGCUGUCGUCAGCUC